CCGGUUUUGGUUCGAAGCUCUAUGCACUAUUAACCUGUUUGUUUGGACUGAGUUUCUGAUCAGAAUCAGAAUCGGGCAGAGGAGUCCACACGGUUUCUUACCCGAAAGUAUAAUUAUUAAAAGAAUAAUACUUGCCAAACGAAAGAACGUGUAUGACAUUUUCUCAAGACAUUCUUGUAAGACAAAUGGAGAAUGCAUAGUACAGAACAUGAACAGAGAAAACAGCGACGUACGACCGAAAAAAAACACAAAAGAAAAUGGCUUCAAUGGCGACCCAUUUCACGGCCACCCUUUUUCUCCUUCCUAUAGGGCUGAGACGCCUCUACUGCUCCACCUCUCAUUUCCUCAAGAACCCAUCUCUUUUCAGAUCCAAAAGUUGGUAUCUUUCUGAUCCUAAAUGGAAAAAUCUUGAUUUAUUUAUCCUUACAAUAGCUCUCCCAGUUGCUUCUUUCUCUGAAGUUUUCAUUUUCUUGACAUUUAAUGGUCGCCCAACUUACCAUUUCUCGUUCUUGCAACAAGCUUUGGUUCUUUUUCUUUACUGGGUUUUAACAAUUUUGUUUCUUUUACAUGGUAACGUUGACCCAUUACUUGUUAAUGAUAGUUUCUUGUUUGUAUGUUCUGGGAUUGUUUUCUUUUUGGAGAAUUUAGUAAUUGGGAAAGGGAUUUCUGGUCUUGUCAGUGAGGUUGUUUAUCGUUUGUGUGGUGAUUUGACUAUCAUUUGUGGUUGUUGUUGUCUGUACUUGGCUAUUAAGCCUAGUGCUUUUUUUAUCGAGUUUUGUUUGUGUUGUGGGUUGGUUCUUAAAGGGACUUGGUUUUUACAAGCUGGAUUGUGUUUGUAUACUGAUGUUUUUGCUUUUAAAGGGUGUCAUAAGAUAACGGUUUUGAUGGAUAAUGAAAAUGCUGUAUUAAAGUGCGAUCUUGAAGAGGAUGGAUUAAGGGGCGUGGCAUUGGUUAAUUUGUUGUUUAUUGGGCAUGCCAUUGGGGUCUUGCUUGUAAGCUUGGGGAUGUUUGCUAUAUUAUCAAGUCAUCGGAAUUCAAGGCAUGGUGAGACAAGUGGUCCAUUGCUGGCAGGGCUUGAAUCUGAUAGUACUUUGAUGCGCACGCCUCCUGAAUUUGAGCUGGAAUGAAGUGUAUGGCCUUUUUGCCUUUCUUUUAUCUCCGUUGUAUUUAUGAUACACAAUUUUGCUUUCAAGUUUAACUAUUUUUAUUCUAGAAGGUUUGCAUUCACAAAGAAUAUUGUUAAGUAGGUUAGCUGCAAGUUUUGGAAAUAUUACAUGAGGUUAAUGAAUAAUCCCACUAGUGUUCCUAGCUUCACAUUGUUAUUUGUCUAAGCUUAUGAUGCAAAUGCCACAAAGAAGUCUGGUGCAAUUUACAAUUUGCGCAAAGUCCUCAUAUCCAUUUGGCUUAAUAUGAUAUUAAUGUUUUACAACAGAACCAAAUGAAGUUUUCUGAAUCUCUUUCUUUUUUUCGUUUCUUGUUCUAACUUCUAAAAGAAGGAGAUAUGGUUCAGAAGUUCUCUAAUAAUGUUUUAUUAAAAGAAAAGAUUGUCCAUAAUUUUAAUACUGCCUCUGAUAGAGUGCCGUCCCUUGAAGCAGUUUGAGCUCAACUCAUUUAUUAUUGUACUUGUCUUGAGAGGUUUCAUAAAGGAAAUGAAUGCAAUGCCACUUACAUGCAGGAGCCAGGAAAUAAUUUGUGAACAUGUUGGUAUUUGCUGAUAUCAACGUUAAAAAAGAAAAACAUAAAUCACAGAUUUGACAUCUAAAGAUUUGAAUUUUCAGUUCUUAGCUCAAAUUUUACAGCCAAGGAUUUUGGAGUGCAGAAGAGAGAAAAGAGAUGCGCGUUACCCUAAUUUUAGAGUGUCUAAUAAUCUAAUAUCAAAAAACCAUGGUUCAUAUGAUGGCAUUUGUUAACAUGGGCACAUAUAGCUUUACGAGGUCACAUAUGGAAAACACAUAUGGAGCAUUCAGAAAAUGAAGGGAAAUGGAUAUCUCUUGAAGAUUUUGGGAUCCUCUUGGUUCAUUUCACAGUUUAUAUUAGUCAAAUUCCUUGGUUCCCUUUGUUUGAAUACGACGGAUGGCUUCAUUUUAUAGUUAUAAAGAGAGAAUGUUGUUAGAAUCUAAGAAGUUAAAUGGAUGACAUUAGCCACUGAUUCAUUAGGCUUCAGGAGAUUGAACUGCAGUUUAUUACUUUUUGAUAUUCGACUCCCACAAAAUUUAGUAGAUCUUAGUUCCCCGGUGACUAAGAUUUCACCUGAUAGCUAGGAUGUAAAGUUUUACCUUAUAGUUAUCUUGUAGAGGAUUUUUUGGCUACUGGGUUGCACCCCCUUGGUCUCCUUGGAUAUUAGCAAGACGAAUCAUCUCUCAUUGAGGUUAUAGUUCAUAAGUGGAGAACUGCAAAAUCUUUGUAUCAUCUUGCUGGGUUUUUAAAUUCUUUCAUCCCAUUAUGGUUCAAUUUAAAGGCUCUUUGAAGCAAUGCAAGUCUGCAAGGCAUUCAAUUCUCAGACUUACAUAGCACUAGAGGCAGCAGGUAUGUAAGAUCCUUUCUAGUAAAUGUCAUAACAUAGAAAAGUCAUGCUUAUUUAUUCUGCUAUUUCCUUUUUGUGCAUUAAUUGAUAUUUGCCAUAAACUUCUUAGCAUGUAAUAGUUAUCUGUAUGGUUAAUUAAUACUUUAAUAUGCUUGCUCUGAUGCUUCUAAAAUCGCUUUGCUAUAAUCCAAGUAGACUUGAAUAACAUAAGAGUUCAGAAUAUACUGCUAUGAGAAAAGGCUUUUACUAACAGUAGUGAAAAAAUAAAAUCCCACAUGUGAUACAGAAUUACAUAUCGUGAUUGCCAAUAAAAAUAUUCAAUAUGGGAUGUGAAUUAAUCUAGUUUAGUAUAUCCGAGUGGAGAAGAACAUUUUGGCAUUGUCAACCAACGUCUCCGAAAACGCCUAAAUCCAUGGAUUUUAAUUCGAAAACGAAUUUGCUUGAUCUUUCUGGUCAGCUCAGCACAUCUCCGUUUAAGCAUUACAGUUUUUGGAAAACUGACCAGUUUUUUAACAUAUUUACAACCUGCACUUGCUGCGAGGAAAACUAAAUAUGAAUAGAAUCAAAACAUAAAAUAAAUCUUUUUUUGCUUGUAAAGGUUAUGCUGAUGAGACUAAUCAGCAAAUUAGUUAUUAAUGUAAAAGUCCUACUUCAAUGAGUUCUCUUAUCCAAGUAUUUCUCAGCUCUGCAUAUAAUUCAGGAACACCCACUGGCGAAGGCAGGGAAUGAGGGGGACUAUGGCCCCCGUAAGUGGGAUAAAUUCUAAAAGUGGGUAUAUUGAUGUAUGUAUAUAUAUUUUAAAAUUUAGUUUUGUUGUGAAACUUUGGCCCCUUUAAAUUUAUUUCUGGCUCCACUAAUGGGAACACCCUUUGGUGCCUUUGACAGAAGAUAGUAUGUGAUUUGUCUUUCUUGAACUUAUUGUCUAAGUUGUCUUUACAAACAUCAAUCAGCUGAGACAUACCUUUAACCUUUGUACCAUCCUCAUUUUGUUCCGAAUUUCCCUUUUGCAGGCCCUGCAAGUUGCAAUAAAAGAAUCAGUCUUGUUGCUUUCUUAGCUCAGUCUCUUGUUGACGGUCGCUGAAGGAAAAGAACUCAAACGUGGAAGGGAAAAUUAAAUUUUGUCAUUUAUUGUCAAAGGAAAGACGUAUAGUCGUUGAAUUUAGUAUAUGCAGUUUGUAAAUUUGUAUGUAAAUUAUGAUUAGCCAUCAUGUCAUUAUACUCUGUUCAUGAUAUUAUUUUUCAGACUUAUUGGUCAUACUGCUUAAACCAUGCUCUGUGUGAUUUUAAGUUCAGGAUAGGGAAACAGGAUACCAAAAGAAACAAACCCUCCAUUGGUGCUUAAAUCUUCUAAAGUCUCUCCUCUCAGUUCUGGUGGAGGAAUAGGGGACCAAGUACAUGGCGGUGCUUUAGCCCAUUUUUCUGAACUUCCAACAUCCAUGAGUUCCUAUUGAAUUUGAAGAAGGAAAGGAGAUAAAAUGAUAAGAUACUGUCAUGUCCAAGUUAACCAAGAAGAGAUAUAGGGCUAAGAGAAUGAGGAUAUCUGCAGUAUAACAAACCUGAAAAAAGGCUGUCGCAAUAAUCACAUCUGAAGGUUCUUUAAAGCGCAUUGGAAAUACUGCAGUGAUUUUUUGUGUCUGUCCAGCACAUUAAUUUACUUUAGCUUUAGACAAUCUUGUUUUGGAUAAAAUGCAUAGGAAUCUUUAUGUAUUAGAAUUUGGAAGAAACCCUAUUGCCAAUCCUGAAAGGCGAGUGCAAUAUAUUUUGAAUCUUUGACUAUA